AGAGCCCCCCAGCCGCCUCUUCUGAGGGGCAAGCUGGACUCAGCUUGGUUUGGACAACAUUGUGGGGGGGCUUUUGCCCUGAGGCGAAGGACAAAGACCGGAGCCCCUCCCAGCCUCGCUUUUCCUCCCGGGUGCCACUGGGGCUGCCCUGUACUCUCAAGGGCACCAAGCCACCUGCAGCCAGGCAAGCCGAGACCUGUUGCCAGAAGCCAAACACGGGAGACAUCACUGCGCGCUGGCAGGAGGGGGGGGGGUGUCUGCCAGGCACUCCAUAAGGCAGGCACUGACAGAACCAGGGCCAGAUUCGGCACUCAUGCAAAGCCACACGGACGGAGGAUGGUUCUGCAAGCAGCGGGUGCAAACAAGCAAGGCAUGCAAGCCCAGGCCUCAGGCACAUGCAACGACGGGAAGGAAGCAGAGCUGGAAGGAGGCAGCGGCGGAGGUUCCCUUCCCCCCCACAUCCCCGCUGAGGUUCGGAGCUUGUGUCUCAGGGUCAGGAGGAAGGAGCCCCCACCCCUGGAAACAGCAACAGCUGGAGCGACUGAGGGGCAGACCAAGACAGCUGAGGAUGUGCUUCACUGAAGGGUAACCAUAGCAACGCCGAGAGCGCUGAGGAGGAUGCUGGCUGGUAACCAGGGGCCGCUCCCGCAGCAGCCGGACGGAUCCCGCCGCCAGGACUCCGCGCGUGGCCCGCCCCGCCGGCAGGCAGGACCGGUGGCGGCCGCCCUCUAGCCCAGCCCCGUCGCCGUGGAGAGGGAGACGCCGGGCCUGCCGGGCUCCGGAAAGGAAGGGCAGCCGUCGCAGACCAGCCGGGCGCUCCUCCCUUCGCUUCUCGGGACGGGACGAGCGGAGCGGAGCGGAGCCGCCGCCGUUCCUCCGGGCCUGCUUGGGCUUCGCCCCGCUCCGGCUCUCGCCCGCCUCCCUCCGCCCAGGGGACGGGGACGGGGACGGGUCGGGCCGCUGAGUUCCGCCGAACCUCCGGCCGCGCAGCCUUGCAAGGUAGGCCGCCGGGGCCUCUCUC